AUUGAACGCUGGCGGCAUGCCUUACACAUGCAAGUCGAACGGUAACAGGUUAAGCUGACGAGUGGCGAACGGGUGAGUAAUAUAUCGGAACGUGCCCAGUCGUGGGGGAUAACGUAGCGAAAGCUACGCUAAUACCGCAUACGAUCUACGGAUGAAAGCGGGGGAUCGCAAGACCUCGCGCGAUUGGAGCGGCCGAUAUCAGAUUAGGUUGUUGGUGAGGUAAAAGCUCACCAAGCCUGCGAUCUGUAGCUGGCCUGAGAGGACGACCAGCCACACUGGAACUGAGACACGGUCCAGACUCCUACGGGAGGCAGCAGUGGGGAAUUUUGGACAAUGGACGCAAGUCUGAUCCAGCAAUGCCGCAUGCAGGACGAAGGCCUUCGGGUUGUAAACUGCUUUUGUACGGAACGAAACGGUGAGCUCUAAUACAGUUUGCUAAUGACGGUACCGUAAGAAUAAGCACCGGCUAACUACGUGCCAGCAGCCGCAGUAA
rnacentral:rRNA from 1 species